GAGUUUGAUCGUGGCUCAGGAUGAACGCUGGCGGCGUGCCUAAUACAUGCAAGUCGAGCGAACUGAUUAGAAGCUUGCUUCUAUGACGUUAGCGGCGGACGGGUGAGUAACACGUGGGCAACCUGCCUGUAAGACUGGGAUAACUUCGGGAAACCGAAGCUAAUACCGGAUAGGAUCUUCUCCUUCAUGGGAGAUGAUUGAAAGAUGGUUUCGGCUAUCACUUACAGAUGGGCCCGCGGUGCAUUAGCUAGUUGGUGAGGUAACGGCUCACCAAGGCAACGAUGCAUAGCCGACCUGAGAGGGUGAUCGGCCACACUGGGACUGAGACACGGCCCAGACUCCUACGGGAGGCAGCAGUAGGGAAUCUUCCGCAAUGGACGAAAGUCUGACGGAGCAACGCCGCGUGAGUGAUGAAGGCUUUCGGGUCGUAAAACUCUGUUGUUAGGGAAGAACAAGUACGAGAGUAACUGCUCGUACCUUGACGGUACCUAACCAGAAAGCCACGGCUAACUACGU
rnacentral:rRNA from 1 species